UACCUACGGGGGGCAGCAGUGGGGAAUAUUGCGCGAUGGGGGAAACCCUGACGCAGCAACGCCGCGUGAGUGAGGAAGUAUCUCGGUAUGUAAAGCUCUAUCAGCGGGGAAGAAAGAGGACGGUACCCGACUAAGAAGCCCCGGCUAACUACGUGCCAGCAGCCGCGGUCAUACGUAGGGGGCGAGCGUUAUCCGGAUUUACUGGGUGUAAAGGGAGCGUAGACGGCGGCGCAAGUCUGAGGUGAAA
rnacentral:rRNA from 1 species